GAUGAGCUGAUUUACUGUGUUCUGCAAUGUAGUAAAAGGCAUACUCAGCCCCUGAAGCUAGAAUUUGGGAACACUUGUGAGUAAGCUGGGUUCUGCCUAAGAGCUUACAGGUUUCCUUGUCCUCUGGUUUCCAGUCCAGCCAAUGGAAGAUAUGUGCCAAGAAAUUUCAAGAUUAGUGGAGAAUGAGGCAAGAACUUUUAUUACACUAGUAACCUUCUCCUGCGUCAUCACAAAUCAGCUCUGACACUCUACUUAAGGCCACAAUUUCUACUGAGCGAAUGUUUCCACCUGGUUACUCUAUGUUCUAGUAACUAUUUCCCAUGCAGCCCCUCAGAAUUCCUGCUUUCACUGGCUCCAAGACUUGUUCGGGAGACAUGGGAGGAGACUAUUGCACUACUAGAAGAAAAAAAAGAAGGGAAUUCUGAUCACUACCAUCAGCUGUGUGUAUCUACCCCAGAUACACAGUCUGGGUAGCAGAAUCAAUGGGCUGUCCAGUGAAUUUUCAGAAUGGGUCUGAUAGAAGCAAGAAGUAAUACUGGUGGGUCCAGUUCAGUAAUUGGGAAGGAGAUUUGACAAGGCAGGCUAUGAUAUGAAGUCAGAUUUUAGGGUUUCAGAACAUUAUCCCAUCCUUAGCAGUCCCCUAACCAGUGGUAGAGAGGCACCACUAUCACCGCCAUUCUCGGUAAAAGGGACUGCCUAGAAAUGGACACAGCAUUAGCCCUAACAUACCUGGGCUGUGGCAAUGUCCUAGUUUUAGAAAGAACCUGAGCACUAUUACCAUCCAGACUAUUGAUGGAGAAAAAAGGAAAAACAGCCCUUGAUAUCCAGAAGGUGGCCUUGCACGAACGGCUAAAACAUGUUAUUCUCCCAUUGGAUAUAAACAAUCUCAGGAAUACCAACGUCAGACAGGUUACUCAGAGACCAUAAUAAAGUAAGACAAACAACUCUACUUCAUAAUGUUGUGUAGGCACGGAUAAAACCAAGGUCGCCAUAUCACCCAUAAAACACCAAACACUCCAUCUCUUGGAACAAAUAGGUGUCUGCUACUUCUUUCCUAGACUGCCCUCUCUAGAGAUAAGACAUUGAUCGCCAAUCAUUGACCCUGCUUUUUUUUUUUUUCUUUUGCCCCUGCUUUUUUUAAAAAUAUUUUAUUUAUUCAUUAGAGAGAGAGAGAGGGAGAAGCAGGCUCCAUGCAGGAGCCCAAUAUGGGACUCGAUCCCAGAACUCCAGGAUCACGCCCUGGGCCAAAGGCAGGUGCUAAACCAUUGAGCCACCCAGGGAUCCCCAGAGAAUCCAGUUCUAAGGAAUGGGCCAACAUUCAGCAGAUGAGCACUUAUUAAAACUACAAGUUAGGAGCUACUGAGCAGCUGAGGCUUGUCCCAAGGCUUAGGGUUUGGAACUAGUUCUUACCACAAUCUAAUUCCAAACCACACCAGAAAGUAGGGCUGAUGUCACAUUUCAACUGAAAGUGAGCUCCUUACGGUGACAUGUAACACCUGCAGUAGGGAAUUAGAGAAAAGCAAUAAGGAGAGAAGGAAGCACUAAUUAGUGCACUGAGCUUUUUUAUAAUACUGUUAUUAAAGCUCUGAAAUAUUAUAAACAAAGAUCUUUGUGAUCAGAAUUGUUAAAUCUGCCAAUCAUCCAGAGACACACUAUUAAAGAAAACUAAAAAUAAUAAUAAUAUUGUUGCUAGAAUAUAGGAAAAACUUAAGGAAGUCUAGCUUUGAGGCCACUUACACCAUAACCUUUUGAGUUUAUUCUCUCUCUCUCUCUCUCUCUCUCUCUCUCUCACACACACACACACACACACACACACACACACACCCCUUAGCAAUAUAUUUUUUAUGUUUUUCUUUUUUCAGGCCUUGUAUACUUUUCCCAAGGCAGAUGUUCCAACUUGUUUUAUUCUUUGCUUAAAGCAGUGGUUCUCAAAUUUGACUACACAUUAAAAUUCCUAGGGGAGCAUUAAAAAAAGUUCAGUGUCCAGAACAUACCCCAGAUCAGCUGAAUUAAAAUCUCUGGAGUAAGACUGAUAACAUUUUUGGGUUUUGU